rnacentral:rRNA from 1 species
UACGUAGGUGACAAGCGUUGUCCGGAUUUACUGGGCGUAAAGAGCGCGCAGGCGGUCGUUCAAGUCGAGUGUGAAAGCCCCCGGCUCAACUGGGGAGGGUCAUUCGAUACUGAUCGACUCGAAGGCAGGAGAGGGUAGUGGAAUUCCCGGUGUAGUGGUGAAAUGCGUAGAUAUCGGGAGGAACACCAGUGGCGAAGGCGACUACCUGGCCCAUUCUUGACGCUGAGGCGCGAAAAGCUAGGGGAGCGAACGGG